UAUUGUGGGAUCUAAACAGCUGGGAGAAG
rnacentral:piRNA from 1 species